AAUCCAUAACGUUUCAUCCUUCAUCCCCAUCUCCAUCUCACGGUGUGUACCCUCAAUCCCCGGAAUAGAACGAUCCCUACUUGCUUAUACUACUAAUGAUAUUUCUAGGGUUAAAUUGUGCGCUCGCUUUGAGUGCAUCAUUGAUCAAACAGAUAGAAUACCAAACCAUUAAAACCAAAUCUGUUUAGACUGCUAAUACUCCACGCCUAAUCUGUUUAUCUUCCUCCUCCCUCGUCUCAACCCUCAAUCCAUUUACGAUCUCUCAGAGCCUCUCCUAUACCAUUCUUCAUUCUUCCUCAUCACCAUAAGACUGGUCUCUCUUGAAGGUUUAUGAUGGGUGAACCAUCGCUACAAGAGCUGAAUGAGAAUGUUGUUGUAGCAUAAAAAUCAACCCCACUGAGCAAUCAAAUGAAGCACCACUUAGCAUGUAAAGGAUGAAGUUGAUCUUUCUUCUAUUUUGUUUCAGCAUAAUCUCUAGCUUUUUGAUAUGUAAUGGAUUGUAAUAUGCAUCAGUUGGAUUGUCAUUCAAUGAAUGUUUUUUCAUUCAUCCACUGACAGAACUUGUGUAUGCUCUUUUGCAUUAUGAUUAUAACUUGUGUUUCAAUUUUUAUUCACCACAGUAUACUACACAAGGAUUCUAUAAUUGAGCUAAUUGAA